rnacentral:tRNA from 1 species
AUUUAAGUAGCUUAUAAUUAGAGUAUAAUAUUGAAGAUAUUAGGGAAAUUUUUUAAAUUCUUAAAUA